AUCCCUUACUCACAUGAGUAGUC
rnacentral:miRNA from 1 species